rnacentral:rRNA from 1 species
UGAGCAAUCUGCCCUUCUCUUCGGAAUAAGCGUUGGAAACGACGUCUAAUGCCGAAUACGACCUCCUUUCGCAUGAUCGGAGGUGGAAAGCUCCGGCGGAGAAGGAUGAGCUCGCGGCCUAUCAGCUAGUUGGUGAGGUAAUGGCUCACCAAGGCGACGACGGGUAGCCGGCCUGAGAGGGUGACCGGCCACACUGGGACUGAGACACGGCCCAGACUCCGUAGGGAGCAG